GAAAGCGGCCUCCGUCGGUUGUGCGUGCCGGCGACAGGGACGGCGGUCGCCGAGUCUUCCUGAUCCGUUUCUCAGAUCGUUCGCCAGAAAGUUGGUCCGUGGACCAUGAAGUUUGCUUUCCACCGCAGGUUGGUAUGGAGAUUUAUUGUGCGCACGGUGGUCUUGAUGUAUGAUUCCCCUUCGUCUCAGGGGUGAAGGGGUGAGCGACUGCCUGCGGAGAAGAAUUCGUGCACAGUGGGGCGACUUGAUUUCCUGGCCAUUGGAGUUUCUAAUGCAGCUAGCAGAUUCCAAUUCGUUGAGGAAGUUGACGAGAGCACAACCCAAAUGGAUCUGUUGUACACACACCGGGCGGCUGCGGCCGAGGUCGCAGCACCGGCGGUAAAAGUGGACGCUGAAAUCUGCGCGGGGGUAAGGGCCAGGGAGAUCAGACGGGAAACAUCACAUCAGGAAUCCGAGCUUUAGACCGGCAAGAUGAACCCACGGCCCCCUGGUUGUGCUAAGAGGUGUUCUGCUAUGCCUUAUUAAUUAUGGCAAUUGGAAUAUCUGCACUAAUUCUUGGGUCAUGGCCUAUGCAUCUGAUUGGAUAUACUACUGCAUUAUCAGGUAGAACCAAAAUGGUUGGACCUGCAGUGAAGCUUCUGCUUCUUAUUGCUGCCAGUGAUCUUUAUCUUAUGGUCGAUAUUUGUCAUCCCGGAAAGUGCUUUUGCUGGAUUAUUAUAUGGCUUUUCUAUUACCAAUAAUGGCCACAUUCGGUGCAGUUGGAGAAGCCAAGGAGAAGCCACUUGUUUAUUGCUUUGUGGAUGGAAGUGGAACAUGGAGUACUAUUAUUGGAAUUUCUACAGUGACCAGGGUUUGGAAAAAAAAAAUAUUUUCCACUCCUAUUUAUCAGUUAUGGAUGACCUCGUCUUCGGACACUUCCUGGUUGAAAUGGCAUAUGAAAUAUGGUUUGCUUCUUGUUUGUGUUUGGUAGCUCUUUACCAUUGUGCCUCAAAAUCAGAUAACUUUUCUGUGUUUCCUUUCCACUUUUGUCCUUUUAACAUAUAUGACCUUAAUCACAUAUGCAAACUAGCACCUUUUAUGUCUGA